CUGCUGGCAAACUACACUCUCUUUUACUUUUUCAUCUGGCAUGACUCACAUAUCUCUGAGAUAUCUUCAUCUAUAUCUGAAAUUAGAUCAUGCUUGCUUAGCUCCUUCAUCCCACAAUCUCCCAUAUAGCCUAGGCGAUAGUGCCACAACCAAUGAGCCCCCUGCUGGUCCUGCGUUGCUACUGUUGUAUCAGAUUUUUCAGUCACCAUAGAUCCUUCCAUCCUAGAGAGGUUGUUCUCCAUCCUCCUAUCUCUUAUCACUAUCAUGGCUCUAUUUAAGAUGUUCAAUACCCCACACUUGACAUGACUGCUGAAGCG
rnacentral:lncRNA from 1 species